rnacentral:lncRNA from 1 species
AUGGCUGGGCACAGAGGAGGGCUGAUCCUGCCCCUGCUGCUGCUGCUGAGCCUCGCCGUGCCCGAGCUGGUGCUGGGGACCACAGCCACAAAGGCUUCGGUGACCUCAGCUCCCUCCACCUCCCUGACACCCGUGGAGACCCCGACGCUGCUGCCCACCACCGACACAGCCUCGGUGCCUCCCUCCAGCCCAGAAACGGGAGCCUCCACCCCAGAGACACCCAGCGUGCCGACGGCUGCCUCCACGAGCAGCACCCUGGCAGCCCCCAGCAGCCCCCCGUUGGAGGUGAGUGGCAGCGUGGGCUCUCCCGCCAGCACCACGCUGCACCCUAAUGCCACCAGCACCGCUGCCACCAUGUCCCCAAGCCCGACCUCCGCAGCCACGCCACCCACCCAGCCUGAGGUGACAACAGGCACAUCGCUGGGGACCAGCGUGUCCCCAGCUCCGAGCACCAGCUCGGCAGGAGCUGCACCAAGCACGCCCCCCACCCUCCCCUCCACCUCUCUCCCCUCCACCUCGGUGGUCACCACGAGCACCAGCAAAGGACCAGCGGCGACCACAGCGCUCAGCACCACCCCCCCGGGGAGCAGCAGUCCUGAUCCCAUCACACCAACCGAGCCCAACACAACCCCGCCGGACCCCACAACACCUCCAGACCCCACAACGCCUCUGGACACCGCAACCCCCUCCCGCCCCAGCACCGGGGGCCCUGGGAGCAAUUCAACCCCCAGCCAGCCCCCAGGGACCACCAACGGGACCGCGGGGACACCCCCGGACACCCCCCAGAGCCCCGCUGCUAGCACCGCAGGCUGCAGCAGCUCAGGGAGGAGGUGGCUGCUUGACCUGAAUGCUACAACGAUCUCAGCUCUCUCUGCCUCCCUGAAAUCCACAGAGACCACGGCGCUGCCGCCCACCGCCGCCUCCACCGGCACAGCCUCCAGCCCUGAAAAAGGAUCCUCCACUCCCGAGACACCCAGCACACCCCCGGGGAGCAGCCGUCCCUCUCCUCCCACCACAGCCCCACACACGGGUACAUCAGCCGAGCCCCCGACAUCCCCUCUGGACACCACAGCCCCGCACCCCACCAGCUCUGGGGUGCCCGGGAGCACCCCAAAUCCCAGCCAGACACUGGGGACCACAAACGGGACCAGCCCUGGUGCCUCCACCCUGACCACGGGGACAGCCCCGGACACCCAGGCGUCACCCCCCAGCCCCGGUGCCACCACGGGCACCUCCCCUGCCACCAACUCAACCCAGAGCCCAAACAACAUCUCCAGCACCUCCACGGCCCAGCCGACGGCAGAGCCCACCUGCCCCGGCAUCAUGAGCCCAGGCGCGGAGUCCCACAUCUUCCUGUCCGUGCGCCUGGCCGGCCCCCUGGACCCUGAGAACAAAACCAUGCAGGACCUGAUCCUGUCCGAGCUCCGCCACAGGCUGCAGGUCAAGUUCCCGCAGGCUGACUUCACCAUGCGGUGGAGUGGGAAGAAACCCUGAGCGCUGCCCCACGCUGCAGCCCCCCAGCCGCCCGUGGCACCGAGGAAGACGAGGAAGGAGCCCCUGCAGCCCGCUGUCAGCCCCUGUGUGCUCCGAAAUCAGCAGAUUUCAGGACCUGACCGGCUGCGGGGGCACAGCCGGUGGGUCCCACGUCACUGCUGUGCUCCCCCCCCGGCUGCGUGCGCCGUGGGGCUGUGGAAAUCCCGUGGGUUGAAAUCCUGCCCUGUUUUUUUUUCUUUUCUUUUUUUUUUUUUCCCCAGUCUCUGGUUAAGGAGACGGCCGCGGCGUCGAUCCCCCUGCAGCGAAGUCAUUUAUUAACUGAUUAAUUAGGCAGAUAAAAUCAGGCCGAAGCAGUUAUUACCCUAAGCAAGUCACCUCGUGGAGAGAUUAAAAAGUGAAAUAAUCACCCAAAUGGCUGUGUUGUUCCUGCGGGGGGAGGGAUUUUUGGCUGAGCCCUUCCUGCAGCCCCUGUCCCACCGAGGGAAGGGGCGUUUGGGGCUGCAGACACCAAACCUGGGGACUGCUCCCAGGCAGCUGAGCUGUCACCCAGCAGCCAGGAGGGACACGAAGCCACCUCGAAGCCACCCAGCUCAUAGGGUCUGGGCAAUGGGGGAGGCUCAGUGGGGUCUGGAGCCCCGAGAGCUCACCAGGGUGCUGCGAUUUGGGCAGGAUCUGUCCCCAACCCGCUGCUGGCUCCUCUCAUUUUGCUCUGUGCGAGUCGCAGGCCGGGCUGGGACAGGGAGGGGGCACAAAUGGGGACAUAAAAACACAUCCCCCUGCGGUCAUACGGUGACCCUGCUGAUGGUGACCCCAAUUCUGGGAGAGAGAGGAUGGGGACUGCCUGGCCCUGAGGCUCUGGGCUGUGUCACCUGCUGCUGGCCACCAACCUGGAGGUUCUCCUCCUCCAGGACCUGCACACGUUUCCCAAAGGGAAAAGCAGCCUGCAGGAGCACACCCCAAUUCCCCAGGGAGCUGUUUCCUGGCUUUUUGGGGGCUUUUUUUUUUUUUUGAGCCCUUAGCACAGCGCUGCUCCUGCUGCAGCGGGGUGCAGAGCAAGGGGAACCCGGGCAGAGCCUGCUGGAUGGGGUCCCCGCUCCCCACGCCUUGUAGGGCACGGGGGAAAUCAUCCUCGUGCUCUGCCCACGCCGUGGCACCGGGCCAGGAGCCCUCCCACGCCGAGUCCCACCGGGCUGAUCCUGCCGGCUGUUGAAUCCAUAACUUCAGACCCCGGGACGUGGCGCGGGGCCAAGGCCGGCAGACGGCAGCCAAAGUGCGUCACAAAGGGAGGAAAAAGGUCCCCAAGUGCUGGGAUGAAAAGGUGACCGGGGCACUUACCAUCCCCGUCCGGCACAGCUGCCUUCGUGGCAGGGGGAGGAGAUGCUCCGGGGGUGGCCGAGCCCCCCCUGCCCUCAGCCUGGGACGGAGCAGAGGGGACCUGGUUGUGAUGGGGGUGCUGUGAUCCCAAAAUGGGGACACGGAGCUGUGACAGGCUCCCAGCCCUGCCCAGCACGGCUGAAUGCUUGCUGGGCUCUGGGUGCAGCCCUCCCAGAGCCCCCGCUCGCAGCUGGGGGAAGGUGAUGGGAGCCAGCUGUGCCUGGAGCACCAGUCCUGUGGUUCCCAGUUUGAAUUUUUCCCACCUUCCACUUCCCAACAUAGACAUCUUUAGGGGUUUCUCCUCCGUGCUGUGGAGCCUCCCCACCAGGACGGGGUUUUGCCACCAUCACCUCGCUGGGAUGAGCUGAGUAGAUGAGACAGGGACGUUGCUCGCAGUGAGGGGCUCUUCCAGCCCUCAAACCAUCCCUCACCCUCCUGCUGUAACCUAUUUCCCUCCAUCAGCAUCACCCCUGG